rnacentral:lncRNA from 1 species
UGCAUACGUGAGGAAGUAGGCUUCUGGAGAUAUUGACUUAAAUGGUGGACAGCAAAGGCUAAGUUAGGUCUAGUGUGGGUGAGAAAAUUGAGUUUCCCCACUAAGCACCUAUAGGAUUCAGGAGAGGGAAGAGGAUCCCCUAAAUCCAGUUUGAGUUUAACAGAGAGGUCAAGAGGGCAAGUAACAGGAGAAACAUCCUCACAGUGAUAAGCUUUGAGCAGGUCAGUGAUAAACUUUUUCUGGUGGAGAAGGAGCCCAUCAGAGUGAUAACUGACCUCAAUGCCAAGAAAGUAGUUGAGCUAUAGGCUUUGAGCAGGUCAGUGAUAAGCUUUUUCUGGUGGAGAAAGAACCCAUCCAGAGUGAUAACUGACCUCAAUACCAAGUAAGUAGUUGAGCACCCCCAAAUCCUUGAUUUUAAACUCAUGAUCCAGAAAGCUCUCGAAGCACUGAUUUCCUUCAAAUCAUUACCAGUGAGAAUAAUGUCAUCAACAUAGACAGCUAACAAGACAAUAGAAGAGCCAGAUUUUCUAAGAAAAAGAGAAUAGUCAUUGAGAGAAGAAGAAAAUCCUUUAGAACAUAAGUCCUGGGAGAGCUUGGCAUACCACUGCCUAGAAGCUUGCCUUAACCCAUACAAAGAUUUCCGAGUAGACAAACCAAAGGAGAAUAAGAGGUAGAAUAGGUAACAUCCAGUCCAGGAGGCAAUUUCAUAUAAACUUCCUCAGCUAAGUCACCAUGUAAGAAUGCAUUAUUCACAUCAAGUUGAAAGAGGGACCAAUUCUGUUUAACAGCCACAGCAAUGAGGGAUUUGUAGUUGAAAACUUGACAACAGGAGAAAAAGUCUCAGUGAAGUCUACACCCUCAACUAUGGUGUCACCCCAAACAACCAGCCUAGCCUUGUGUCUUUCCACAGACCCAUCAGCCCUAUAUUUGAUCUUAUAGACCCAUUUGCAACCAAUAGGUCUUUUACCAGGGGGAAGGGGAACUAUUGACCAGGUAUGAUUAGCCUCCAAGGCUGCAAAUUCCUUGGUCAUUGCCUCCUGCCAGGCAGGAAUAGAGGCAGCCUGCUGAUAGGAGGUAGGCUCUGCCUCUGUAAUGCUAACUAAACUAUGAAGACAAGUGGAAGAAGAACUGGGGCCAGAUAGAGAUGGAGGAAGAUUGCAGACAUACUGCUGCAGAUGAGCAGGAAGGACAUGUGACCUAUUGGAUCUUCUGGGAGCAGAUGAAGCAGGCACUGAUGAAGUAUGUGAUGGAGAAGAAGGUGAAAAAGAAGGGAGGGGAACUAUUGACCAGGUAUGACUGGCCUCCAAAGUUGCAAAUUCCUUGGUCAUUGCCUCCUGCCAGGCAGGAAUAGAGGCAGCCUGCUGAUAGGAGGUAGGCUCUGCUUCUAGAAUGCUACCAAACUGUGAAGACAAGUGGAAGAAGAAUUGGGGCCAGAAAGAGAUGGAGGAAGAGUGCAGACAUACUGCUGCAGAUGAGCAGGAAGGACAUGUGCCCUAUUGGAUCUUCUGGGAGCUGAUGAAGCAGGCACUGAAGAAGUAUGUGAUGGAGAAGAAAGUGAAGAAGAAGGAGAGUUAAGAGGUGGAUGGUUGGAAAAAGAUGAAGAAUUGUGCAGAAAGUCAUCAACAGGAGGAACCCCAGCAGAAGAAGAGUGAAGAAGAAGGAGAGUCAAGAGGUUGAUGGGUGGAAGAAGAUGAAGAAUUGUGCAGAAGUCAUCAACAGGAGGAACCCAGGCAGAAGAAGGAUUAAGAGUAGGAAAAGAACCAUGGGAAGAAUUUUCUGGAGAGGCAAAAGGAAAAACAUCCUCAUGAAAAAUGACAUCCCUGGAUAUCAGGGUAAGUUGAGACUUCAAGUUAUACAUCUUAUAACCUUUUUUAGCCAGUGGAUAACCCAGAAAAACACAGGGAUCAGCUCUGGGUUGGAAUUUAUCUCUAUUCUGUUUAGGGACUGAGGAAAAACAUAGGCAACCAAAUGUUUUAAGGUGGUUAUAGGAUGGAAUCUGGCCAAACAGCAAUUCAAAAGGGGAUUUCAAAACAUAGGCAACCAAAUGUUCUAAGGUGGUUAUAGGAUGGAAUCUGUCCAAACAGCAAUUCAAAAGGGGAUUUAUUGUUAAGGAGUUUGGAAGGAAACCUGUUAAUGAGGUAGGUUGCAGUAAGCACACAAUCACCCCAAAAUCUAAUGGGUAGCUGGGAAUGAAAAAGUAGAGCUCUUGAGGUUUCUAGCAGAUAUCUAUGCUUUCUCUCAACUACACCAUUUUUUUGUGGUGUGUGAGAGCAGGAAGUUUGAUGCAUUAUGCCAUUUUCAGCAAAGAAGUUGCUGCCACAGCUACUAGAGCCAAGUUCAAAUGCAUUAUCACUCCUAAUGGUUUUUACCACAUACUGGAAUUGGUCUUAACCAUGGCAAUGAAGGCUUUAAUAAGGGGAAAGGCAUUACUUUUGGACCCCAU